rnacentral:rRNA from 1 species
CCUACGGGAGACAGCAGUAGGGAAUAUUGCUCAAUGGGGGAAACCCUGAAGCAGCAACGCCGCGUGGAGGAUGAAGGUUUUCGGAUUGUAAACUCCUUUUGUUAGAGAAGAUAAUGACGGUAUCUAACGAAUAAGCACCGGCUAACUCCGUGCCAGCAGCCGCGGUAAUACGUAGGUGGCAAGCGUUAUCCGGAUUUACUGGGUGUAAAGGGCGUGUAGGCGGGAAAGCAAGUCAGAUGUGAAAACCAUGGGCUCAACCCCGUACUGCCGUUGAAACUGCAUCCCUUGAGUGCGCGAGAAGUAUGCGGAAUGCGUGGUGUAGCGGUGAAAUGCAUAGAUAUCACGCAGAACUCCGAUUGCGAAGGCAGCAUACCGGCGCGCAACUGACGCUCAUGCACGAAAGCGUGGGUAUCGAACAGGAUUAGAUACCCUGGUAGUC